UACGUAGGGGGCAAGCGUUGUCCGGAAUCAUUGGGCGUAAAGAGCGUGUAGGCGGUUCGGUAAGUCGGCUGUGAAAGUCCAGGGCUCAACCCUGGGAUGCCGGUCGAUACUGCCGGACUAGAGUUCGGAAGAGGCGAGUGGAACUCCUGGUGUAGCGGUGGAAUGCGCAGAUAUCAGGAAGAACACCAACGGCGAAGGCAGCUCGCUAGGACGGUACUGACGCUGAGACGCGAAAGCGUGGGGAGCGAACAGG
rnacentral:rRNA from 1 species